UUCACAUGUCCUUGGCUAUCUCCCAAAUUCUUUGGUUUAUUUACCUGCUAAACACGGCAUGCAGAACUAGUGCGGGUGAAGGCAUUAGAUUGGAUAUUGGUCAUGAUGUAUCGAAAUCAGAUCGAAUGGUGACAGAUGAAAUUUUCAAAACCACACAUCAGUUGCCACAUAAUCAGAUAAUAGAUGUGGAAUGUCCUGCAGAUACUUUGCUUAUGUUUGCUUCCUUAUCAAGUAACUCUGCAGUACGAAGUUCUGUUACUGGCGGAUGGUUGUUAUCUAGUCUAUACAAUCAAAUUAGGGAAUACAUAAAAAAUGGCAAAAUAUGGUCGACAGAAUUUACUCAGGUGCUCAAUAGUACUUUGAAAGAAAUGGCCACAAAGUACUUCAAACCAUCUGACGAAACCUCAAAACUGUAUGGAGAAUUUUCUCCUGGUUGUUAUAGUCAUGUUUUGUCUGCUGAUAUUUUAUUUAAUAAGAAACAGUGAAAAUUAACUUUAACCUUGGAGAAAAAAGAAGGAUAUCGUUUUUUGUUUCUAUUAUCUAUUUAGAAUUUUUAGUAAAAUGGUGGAGAACAUUUUGAGCCAAAUAGAAAAUGUUUGGAAGUGUAGGCAAACAAUGAUACAUGCAAAAGCGAUGUAGGCGACCUUUGAAGGUCAAUAUAUAUAUGAAAAGUUAAAUUUUAAAAGGAGAAGGUAUGGUGAUGCCACUUUUUAUUAUCACACGAAUUCGAAAAUCAUAAAAUAUAUGCUUUAGAUGUUCGUAAGACAUUAGUUUGUGAGAUAAAAGUAUUUAUAUUUUUGCUACAAAUUAUUUUUACAUAGAUUUAAACAUUUGUAAAAACUAUUUUUUUGGAUAAGCCUUGAUCCUAUUUUGUCCAACAACUUUGUAUAAAUUGCAAUUUUGGGUCAAAUAUGUAAAUUUCUAUAUAUUUAUAACAUUAUAGUGACAUAACAACGGAUCUUUCUGCACUAAAGAGUCCAUAGUAUAUUAAUACAUCUGUCCAUUUUUCAAUAAAAUUGACAUACUUUUGAAAAGCUUAAAGGUUUGACUAUUUUUGCAAUUUCAGGGGUUAAAAAUAGCUCUUAUCAUACUUUUUUAUGGAAAAUUCUAGGAGAACACAUUGUUAAAUGCAUAUAUAGUCUUGUCCCUUUUCAAUGUGUUAGCUAUGUAAGCUCCUUGACUUAAUGCUUUAUUAGACCGCCAACGUUUAUGUUGGUAUUUUCAAAUGAUUUGAAAUACACUAAAAUGAUCAAUGUAUAAAACGUGAAUUUCAUUGCGCAUUUUUCAUUAAUUAUAUUUAUCCAGUCAUUUAGAAGUUAAUUUCAGCUGGUAAAUAGAACAGUUAAAUAAAUGUGUGUAUCAUGUUUAU